rnacentral:rRNA from 1 species
CAGUCGCCGCGGUAAUACGUAGGGUGCGAGCGUUAAUCGGAAUUACUGGGCGUAAAGCGUGCGCAGGCGGUUUUGUAAGACAGGCGUGAAAUCCCCGGGCCCAACCUGGGAAUGGCGCUUGUGACUGCAAAGCUAGAGUGCGGCAGAGGGGGAUGGAAUUCCGCGUGUAGCAGUGAAAUGCGUAGAUAUGCGGAGGAACACCGAUGGCGAAGGCAAUCCCCUGGGCCUGCACUGACGCUCAUGCACGAAAGCGUGGGGAGCAAACAGGAUUAGAUACCCCGGUAGUCCCUGUCUCUUAUAU